CCAUCCGUGUCUUCUAAAGCACGGUCAGUAAACGUAUACGAGGCACCACUUCCAACAAGACUCCUCCGGCAGGAAGCCAACUGCAACUGGUCUCCGGCACACGUCGCUGCCGCGCACGCCACUGCGAGAGGGGCGGGAGGAGAGGAGGAGGGAGAGGAGGAGGAGUCAGAGCCCACGGAGGAGUCAAGCCCACCCAAGCAAACAAACACGCAGCUCCUCAGAAUAACUCUCGGUCAAGCUGGGUGUGAUUAAAGACCGUCACAGGAUGUCCCCCACGACGACGACAACCAUGCAAAGAUGAUGAAGAUGAUGAUGAUGAUGAUGCUGAGGAGGAUGCGUGUGCUCCAUCGUCCGGUC